AUUGAACGCUGGCGGCAGGCCUAACACAUGCAAGUCGAGCGGAUGAAGGGAGCUUGCUCCUGGCUUCAGUGGCGGACGGGUGAGUAAUGCCUAGGAAUCUGCCUGGUAGAGGGGGCUAACGUCCGGACACGGGCGCUAAUACCGCAUACGUCAUGAGGGAGAACGUCGGGGUUCUUCGGACCUAACGCUAUCUGAUGAGCCUAGGUCGGAUUAGCUAGUUGGUGGGGUAAAGGCCUACCAAGGCGACGAUCCGUAACUGAUCUGAGAGGAUGAUCAGCCACACUGGAACUGAGACACGGUCCAGACUCCUACGGGAGGCAGCAGUAGGGAAUAUUGGACAAUGGGCGAAAGCCUGAUCCAGCCAUGCCGCGUGUGUGAAGAAGGUCUUCGGAUUGUAAAGCACUUUAAGUUGGGAGGAAGAGCAGUAAGUUAAUACCUUGCUGUUUUGACGGUACCAACAGAAUAAGCACCGGCUAACUACGUG
rnacentral:rRNA from 1 species